UCGAUAUUUGAUUUCAGAAAUUUCUGCUUGGUGAUGAAGACUAUUCAAAUGAGUUCUUUGAUGUGUACACUGUGAGUUCUGAAGAAUUCAAGAGAAUUGCACAGGGGAAGUCAACUGUUCUGGAUCACAAUGAAACUGAAUUGCCAGCGCUGAUGGAGCACAUUAAGAAACUGUACGUCUCCCAUUUCAAGAAGGAAGUGAAAGAUUAUGUAUCUGAGGUUUCUGGAAUCAUUUCAUAUCUUCACUUUUCAAAGGAUGCUCUCAGUUCAAAGAAACAGUCUUCAAAUGACGACGAGUUCAACCGACUUGAAAAGGAUCUGGGUAAAACAUGCGAAACAUUGAAUGAAAAUCUGAGCCAAGUUC